GAUGAAGAACGUAGCGAAAUGCGAUAAGUAGUGUGAAUUGCAGAAUUCAGUGAAUCAUCGAAUCUUUGAACGCACAUUGCGCCCCUUGGUAUCCCGAGGGGCAUGCCUGUUCGAGCGUCAUUUCACCACUCAAGCCUGGCUUGGUGUUGGGCGACGUCCCCUUUGGGGACGCGCCUCGAAACGCUCGGCGGCGUGGCACCGGCUUUAAGCGUAGCAGAAUCUUUCGCUUUGGAAGUCGGGGCCCCGUCUGCCGGAAGACCUACUCGCAAGGUUGACCUCGGAUCAGGCAGGGAUACCCGCUGAACUUAAGCAUAUCAAUAAGCGGAGGG
rnacentral:misc_RNA from 1 species